ACGGGGGAAAGGAAGAGCACCUUGUUUAUUGUCUUGAUAAAAUUAUUAAUAACUUAUAACAACAGUCGCCAAUGGAACCGAUUAGCCGAAAUACUCAGUGCGGCUCUAAAUGUGAGUAUCAAAAAUAGGGCUGCAACUGACGAUAUUAUUUUAAUGAUCCAUUAAUCUGUCGAUUUUUUUCUCGAUUAAUUGUUUAGUUGUCUGGUCCAUAAAAGGUCACAAAAAUUGUGAAAAAGCUUGAUCGUGGGCCCAGACUUUUUUUUACAGUGUAUCUGACUUAUAAAUACCGAGUACAAACGUUAUGCAAUCAUUCUGUGGACGUUUAAAAAAAAGUGUACAAGUUCCAAGUAUAUGCUGGGAUUCAAAUUGGAUACAGGACGUGCCACUCUGUACUGCUAAGAGCAUUCAACAGCCACUUUAAUUAUCAUUUCUAACUGUACAUGUGUAAUGUCCAGCAGCUGUUUAUCCUCGAACAGUGACGUACGUGUAAACUGAGCGAGCUGACAAGUGUGAUGGUGGUUUAAUGACGAACGUGAGCACUUGAUGCAGGUUGACGCAAGUUAACGGUCGAAAAGUGGAACGUUUGAUUCUUUCUGUCGGAUUGCUCUUAAACACCGUUUUUUGCACCCGGCCCACAUAGCUUGUAACACAUUUAAAAAAAAAAUGUUUUCACUCAUUUUAUUGGUUGUUAAAAAAAUCCCGUCAGCCCCUAAAACCGUCAAAAAAAACCAACCAGCAGAAUAAUCAAAACUCUGGGCUUCAAUUUUUUAACAACAAGAAACAUAUGUACUGUGCCACUACACUCGGUUGAAUCAGGUUGAAUCACAUUCCUCGGGGUGACAUGUAGCAGUCGACACCACCCGCUAGCUUUAGCAAUAUAGCCAAUCGAUCGGGCGAUGUGAUAACGUAUCGAUUAACGAAAAGGGGGAAAAAAAGAAAGAAGCUGUGUCCUGGAAGUGACGAUGCAGAGAGAUGCACCGUAAAACAGGCAACACGCACACACACGGACAUUCUGUGUAUACACGGAAAUAGAGUCAACAAAAAUAAAAAAUAAAAAUAUCUUAAAAAAAGGGAAAUGUAAAAACUCACCACACAGGCUUCCGUUCGCUUCAUACGCUCUGUGGAACCGGAAGAAACAUUCCUGCGUCGAGUCCGCCGGUCGCCCCUUCGAUCACAACCGGGGAGAAACACGCCGAGGAGCAGGAGCAGGAGGAGGAGGAGAGGCGUUUGCCUGGAGCCCGCAUCGUCCAGACAGACAGACGGAACGAGAGGGAGGAGGAGGAGGAGGAGAGGCCGUCCGGCCCCGCACAGUCACAUCAUUGGUUGACAAACAGCAAUCAGAUGCAAAUUCCUAACCUCUGAAUCAGCAGGGGCCAGCGCCCCCCCCCCCCCCCCCCCCCCCCCCCGCAGCCGGAGCAGGGACUGUCGCUAAAUUUCAAGGGGUGUGAAAAUAAAUUCACUUCUCAGCCUAUGAGAAAAGAAAAAGUCCUUUCUGCAAAAUGUUCAUUUGAAUGUAAUGGCCUUGAAAAAUAAAGUGUCAUUGUGCCAUGUGGCAACA